CGCAGGUAAAACGCAGUGGGUCAUUGAAACGCUCUCUUCCUUUUAACAAGACAAAAAAUCUUACAUUUUUGCUCCUUGUCUUCUCCGAUAAGAUUACGGCCGGUGGCGUGGCGUUCUUUGCGAUAAAUCGAUCGAUCUGCCAUUUAAACCUAUGGAGAAGGAUCGAUAAACAGGGUGAUCGCAACAAACACCAUCAUAAUCGAUUCUUUACCACAGCUUCAAAUGGGGAAAUAUCAAUAAUCGAUCAUUCACGCCUCGCCACCGAUUGUGGUAUCCAAUAUGACUCCCAUCCGUGCACAGCGCAUCCUAAAUAAAUGACCCGCAUAAAAUCUGCACAAAAAAAUGACCGACCAUUUUUUUAAAAAGUUGUAACUGGAGGCUCAUCUUAUUUAUCUGCCACAGCUCUCGAUGAUAGCCCGGUCCAUAUUCGAGGAACUAAAUCGAUUUCUAAUUAUAAAAUCGCGACUUGACGCCUACCAAAGCAACGACAAAAAUAUUCGGAAGUCAAGAGUUUAUCGUGCCGCCGAAAUUAACUGAUGCAAAAGUAGUAAUUAACCAAUUCUUUCUCGGCCAAUUUUCGGUCUUGCCCUUGCGGAUAUUGCAUGACCCAAAAAGAUAAAUGUGCAGCAUAAAAAGCACCGAAAAGAGGUAUAGGAACCACUUGCCUUACAUUCUGUUGGCAAAUAAUAUAGUAUUUUCCCGAUUGAUUCACAGCAGCCCAACUGCGCUGCCGUCUACUGAACCCGACAGUUCCUACAUUCUAGUCAUUUUUCAGCGGCUACAAUUCAGCUGAAAAUGUUGCUCUUGCUCGUUGUGGCCACUGCCCUGGUGGGCGCUAACGCAAAUACCACAACCCCGGCCACCACCACCACCACCGCCACCACCAAUGGAGUCGAACCUAACAUCGCUGCUCUAGACAGUUUGAACGCCAUAGAAUCCGAUCCUUAUGCCAGCGUUGACAUGAUCGACAACGCCACGACCAUCAGUCACUUCAUGGUGACCCCAACCAGUUCCAACUGCAAGAAUUUAGACUUUAACUGGCACAUCUCGGAAGUUCAGGGCACAGUCGAGUUCCACGGAGAAUUCUGCAUGCCUUCAACGGACAGCUGGUCCCUGGCAACCAACGUGAAACUCAAGAUCCUCGGGUACUCCCUGCUCAACGACAAGUACCACUUCAGCCCCCAGUACUCGGAGGUGAGGAAGAAGAUCAACCUCCUGGCGGCCAAGAUCGACGUGACCCUUGGCGUCUACAACUACUGCAUCCGGAUCGUGGGUAACGCCUGCUACUGGGCCGGCAAGUACCGAUGCGCCGACAUCUACGAGCAGCCGUACUGUUUCAAGAAGAACUUGAUCAAGAAGUCCACCUACACCGGCGCGGUCAACUACAACGAUGUCCUCCAACCGAGCCUUUCCAACUACGCCGCAGCACCAUCCUGGGCGGUCGGUGGUGACGACUGCCCGGCUCGCCUCAAGAAAAUCGCCGCCCUGGCCAAUCUUUAAGCUCGCCUCAGGAGUGACUGAGGAGAACCAAUGGAUUCGGUCCGAAUCCGUUCAAGGGGAAAUUCUGAGUCCACACCAGCAGAGACGAUUCGGAAAAGUGCACCGAAAAAAAAGUGAAGUUGAUUUAACAAUCUGGAUGUAAAAAAAGUUUGCGAGAACUUAAAACAUGCAGAAUUACCCACCAUGGCAGUUACUUUUACAUAUUUUUUUUUCAUAUUUAAAUUCGAUUUAUUACAUAAGAAUAUAAUUACAUCCAGGGGUGUCACUACAUAGAAGAGUAUAUCCCUCUGAUUUACUCCGUAACUAAGUUACUAAUUCUUAUAAUCUAGAAAUCUAAAUUACGUACAGUGAUAACUUAUCGUAAGAUGAAGUUGAUUAAUUAAAAGAGAAUACUGGGAUGGGUGUCUUUACUGUACUAUUUAAAGACUAUUUCUUAGAUCUAGAAAAACCCGUCUGAACUGGAAGAAACUUUUACAUCUUAGCUUACUAACUUAGCUUACUUAGCUUAACUACUGUAGCAGGUAGCUCAGCAUUUUGUAAGUUCUCGCACACUUUUUUUACAUCCAGAAUGUUAAAUCAACUUCCCUUUUUUUCGAUGUGGACAGUACCAAGGCCGGUCUGCUGGGGGUACCAGGGGACUUCAGCUUUCCAGAAAUCCCUACGAGUGACUCAAGGAGCCCCGGCAGGACUCUUGUAGGGGCCCUCAAAAUGUUGCAAAAUCCCCAUGAAAGAGGACUGUAGGUUAAAUACAGGGGGGGGGGGACUCGAGAGGAGGAGCCUCGGAGACGUAUCAGCACCCUAGUGGCGAUUCUUGAAACUUGGCAACACUGUUCCUCUUCCAUUUAAAUGUAUGCAAAACAGUCGAUUCUUGGAGAUACAGCGUGCCUUACUUGGUAUCCAUAUUUUCAAUGGAUUUAAAUAGAGGAAAAAUAGUAUUGCCAACUUUCAAAAUCGCCACUGAAGCAAUCCAAGAAUUUUCGAGCCAGACCCAAAUUAUUUAUGAAAUCGUUCAUGCUUAGUAACACCAUUUGUAGUAUGAUAAUGUAAAAGGAUUUUAGCCAAGGUGUUAUGGUUAUCACUGCUUUAUUUUGCUGCUUAAUUUUUUAAAUAAAUAAAGCAGUGAUAACCAUAACGCCUUGGCUAAAAUCCUUUUACAUUAUCAGACCCAAACUGGACAACACUGUUUUUACAUUUAAAGUCAUUAAAACCUAGAUUCUAAAUGAGGAAUUCUGCCUCAAUUGAAUAAAACAAUUCUGUCAACUUUCAAGAAUUGCCUCUAAGCACCAAAAGUUUAUAUAAUCUUUUAUUCAAUAAAUGAUUUUCCUCAAAGAUGUUCCUUUUCAUUGCAUUUUUUCCGUUUCGUGAACACAAAGUUAGGCAAAAUAAACAUGGGUAACAUUUCGUUGAAGAAAAAGGUGAAAUUCGUUACCUUCCAAAAUAUUUUCGGUUCACUUCGAAUACACCAAGAAAGCAUUCGUUACACAUUCGAAUUCCCCUUUUUCCGGCUAGAUUCUCAAUCCGUUGUUUCCUAGACGAGGAAAUGUAACUCGACGUACUCCAGAGAUACAAAAUCGACUAAAACUAUUAAAGUUUUUACAAAAAUAUCAAUAUACAAUUUUUGUCUAAAAUUUCCCUAAUUUUUAGUGUAAUCAGAGGAAAAUUAGUUUAAUUCUCAGUUAGAAACGUUGAAAGUUUUGUAGUAAAAAUAUAAUUUUCGAGUGAAAAUUUUACAAUGUUCAGAUGUAAAUACCCACGUGUUUUAGUGCAGAAAUCGACGAAUCUUUCUAUUCAAAUGAAAAAAAAAAAUCCAAUGGUAAGUCAAGGAGUUACUCUUAUCAAACAGGGCAAAUAGAUUACUUAUUUAAUGCGAUAAGUAACUAGCUUGAUUUUGUUACCUACUGUACACUUUAAAAUGUUACUUUUGUGUCAUACUGUUGCGCGCUUAAAAUAAGCCCAUUAUGUAGUUUUAUUGCAAAAAUCUCGAGGAACAUCGAGUAAAGGGUCAAUAUCAUAUUUAACUCUCAAUAACUUAAAAAAAUAAAAAUAAGACCAGAGUGCACGCGAAAAUCUCGCGAUCCCAUUAACAUUUGCGAUAAAAGACCUUCGAAAGAAAAGUUCCACUGCAUGACCAAUAUACGCAGGGAGAUAAACUUUGUCACCCGUUAAUGAUAUCCUAAUAGCACGCGUAUAUCAGUGGCGUGGCGUGCUUUGCGAUAUAUCGAUUGUUAUGCCAUUUAAACCCUUGGAAAAGGAUCGAUAAACAGGGUGUUCGCAGCGAACACCUUAAUAAUCGAUUCUUUACCAUAGGUUUAAAUAGCAUAACAAUCGAUAUAUCGCAAAGCACGCCACGCCACUGGCGUAUAGCAUCUUCUUCCUCGUUACGCUGGUCUUUUGAGUGAGCAAACGGAACUGCGUCAAUUGCUAUAAUUACUUGCAAGGAACAA
rnacentral:lncRNA from 1 species